UACGUAGGGCGCAAGCGUUAUCCGGAAUUAUUGGGCGUAAAGAGCUCGUAGGCGGCCUGUCGCGUCGGUUGUGAAAGCCCGGGGCUUAACCCCGGGUCUGCAGUCGAUACGGGCAGGCUAGAGUUCGGUAGGGGAGAUCGGAAUUCCUGGUGUAGCGGUGAAAUGCGCAGAUAUCAGGAGGAACACCGGUGGCGAAGGCGGUUCUCUGGGCAUGUCCUGACGCUGAGGAGCGAAAGUGUGGGGAGCGAACAGG
rnacentral:rRNA from 1 species